rnacentral:rRNA from 1 species
AACGAACGUUGGCGGCGUGGAUUAGGCAUGCAAGUCGAACGAGAACUCCUGGGCAACUGGGAGGGAAAGUGGCGAAAGGGGCAGUAAGGCAUGGGUAACCUACCCUGGGGAUGAGGAUAGCCGUUCUAACGGACGGGUAAUACUCGGCGAUCUGGCGAAGUCGCAUGGUUUUGCCAGGAAAUGAAUUUCGCCUCGGGAGGGGCUCAUGUGAUAUUAGCUAGUUGGUGAGGUAACGGCCCACCAAGGCAAAGAUGUCUAGCGGGUGUGAGA